rnacentral:rRNA from 1 species
AUUGCCCCAGUAACGGCGAGUGAAGCGGCAACAGCUCAAAUUUGAAAUCUGGCCUUCGGGUCCGAGUUGUAAUUUGUAGAGGAUGCUUUUGGCGCGGUGCCUUCCGAGUUCCCUGGAACGGGACGCCAUAGAGGGUGAGAGCCCCGUCUGGUUGGACACCAAGCCUCUGUAAAGCUCCUUCGACGAGUCGAGUAGUUUGGGAAUGCUGCUCUAAAUGGGAGGUAUAUGUCUUCUAAAGCUAAAUAUUGGCCAGAGACCGAUAGCGCACAAGUAGAGUGAUCGAAAGAUGAAAAGCACUUUGAAAAGAGAGUUAAAUAGCACGUGAAAUUGUUGAAAGGGAAGCGAUUAUGACCAGACUUGGGCUUGGUUGAUCAUCCGGCGUUCUCGCCGGUGCACUCUUCCGGCCCAGGCCAGCAUCAGUUCGCUGCGGGGGAUAAAGGCGUCGGGAAUGUGGCUCCCUCGGGAGUGUUAUAGCCCUUCGUGCAAUGCCCUGCGGUGGACUGAGGACCGCGCUUUAUGCAAGGAUGCUGGCGUAAUGGUCAUCAUCGACCCGUCUUGAAACACGGACCAAGGAGUCGUCUUCGUAUGCGAGUGUUCGGGUGUCAAACCCCUACGCGUAAUGAAAGUGAACGCAGGUGAGAGCUUCGGCGCAUCACCGACCGAUCCUGAUGUUCUCGGAUGGAUUUGAGUAAGAGCAUACGGAGCCGGACCCGAAAGAAGGUGAACUAUGCCUGUAUAGGGUGAAGCCAGAGGAAACUCUGGUGGAGGCUCGCAGCGGUUCUGACGUGCAAAUCGAUCGUCAAAUAUGGGCAUGGGGGCGAAAGACUAAU